rnacentral:rRNA from 1 species
GACGAACGCUGGCGGCGUGCUUAACACAUGCAAGUCGAACGCUGAAGCUCAGCUUUUGUUGGGUGGAUGAGUGGCGAACGGGUGAGUAACACGUGAGUAACCUGCCCCCUUCUUUGGGAUAACGCCCGGAAACGGGUGCUAAUACUGGAUAUUCACUGGUCUUCGCAUGGGGGUUGGUGGAAAGGGUUUUUCUGGUGGGGGAUGGGCUCGCGGCCUAUCCGCUUGUUGGUGGGGUGAUGGCCUACCAAGGCUUUGACGGGUAGCCGGCCUGAGAGGGUGACCGGUCACAUUGGGACUGAGAUACGGCCCAGACUACUACGGGAGGCAGCAGUGGGGACUAUUGCAGAAUGGGCGCAAGCCUGAUGCAGCGACGCCGCGGGAGGGAUGGAGGCCUUCGGGUUGUGAACCUCUUUCGCUCAUGGUCAAGCCGCAACAAUGGUUGUGGUGAGGGUAGUGGGUAAAGAAGCGCCGGCUAACUACGUG